rnacentral:rRNA from 1 species
CCUACGGGUGGCAGCAGUGAGGAAUAUUGGUCAAUGGACGAGAGUCUGAACCAGCCAAGUUGCGUGAAGGAUGACUGCCCUAUGGGUUGUAAACUUCUUUUAUAUGGGAAUAAAAUGUUCCACGUGUGGGAUUUUGUAUGUACCAUAUGAAUAAGGAUCGGCUAAAUCCGUGCCAGCAGCCGCGGUAAUACGGAGGAUCCGAGCGUUAUCCGGAUUUAUUGGGUUUAAAGGGAGCGUAGGUGGAUUGUUAAGUCAGUUGUGAAAGUUUGCGGCUCAACCGUAAAAUUGCAGUUGAAACUGGCAGUCUUGAGUACAGGAGAGGUGGGCGGAAUUCGUGGUGUAGCGGUGAAAUGCUUAGAUAUCACGAAGAACUCCGAUUGCGAAGGCAGUUCACUGGACUGCAACUGACACUGAGGCUCGAAAGUGUGGGUAUCAAACAGGAUUAGAUACCCUUGUAGUC